GUGGUCGCUUUGGCAGCACAUCUACUAACAGUGCAGUGAUGCAGAGAAGACUAGCUUGGCCCUGUGCAAGGAUGGCGUGGGUAUCUGUGGAGCAUUCCAUAUUUUU
ensembl:snRNA U6 U6 spliceosomal RNA